UACGGAGGGAGCUAGCGUUGUUCGGAAUUACUGGGCGUAAAGCGCGCGUAGGCGGCUUUGUAAGUCAGAGGUGAAAUCCCGGAGCUCAACUCCGGAACUGCCUUUGAGACUGGCAUCGCUUGAAUCCGGGAGAGGUGAGUGGAAUUCCGAGUGUAGAGGUGAAAUUCGUAGAUAUUCGGAAGAACACCAGUGGCGAAGGCGGCUACACU
rnacentral:rRNA from 1 species